rnacentral:tRNA from 1 species
GCGGACAUGGUGGAAUUUGGUAGACACGUAUGGUUUAGGACCAUAUAUUUUAAAAAAAAUGUGUGGGUUCGAAUCCCUCUGUCCGCA